AGCAAGUUAAGAAGAUUUUUAGAUGUCAGCGUCAAAACAUCUUUUGCAGUUUAAGAUGUCUCUGAUAAUGUCAUUGGGUAUUAAAUUAUCUUUUU